AACGAACGCUGGCGGCAUGCCUAACACAUGCAAGUCGAACGAGACCUUCGGGUCUAGUGGCGCACGGGUGCGUAACGCGUGGGAAUCUGCCCUUAGGUACGGAAUAACUCAGGGAAACUUGAGCUAAUACCGUAUAAUGACUCCGGUCCAAAGAUUUAUCGCCUAAGGAUGAGCCCGCGUAGGAUUAGCUAGUUGGUGAGGUAAAAGCUCACCAAGGCGACGAUCCUUAGCUGGCUGAGAGGAUGAUCAGCCACACUGGGACUGAGACACGGCCCAGACUCCUACGGGAGGCAGCAGU
rnacentral:rRNA from 1 species